UAGGGAAUUUUGCGCAAUGGGCGAAAGCCUGACGCAGCAACACCGCGUGAGUGAUGACGCCCCUUGGGGUGUAAAACUCUGUCAGUGGGGACGAAGCCUGACGGUACCCACAGAGGAAGCAUCGGCUAACUACGUGCCAGCAGCCGCGGUAAGACGUAGGAUGCAAGCGUUGUCCGGAAUUAUUGGGCGUAAAGAGUUCGUAGGCGGCAUGUCAAGUCUGGUGUUAAAGCCCGAGGCUCAACCUCGGAUCAGCAUUGGAUACUGGCAAGCUAGAAUGCAGUAGAGGCAAGGGGAAUUCCCAGUGUAGCGGUGAAAUGCGUAGAUAUUGGGAGGAACACCAGUGGCGUAAGCGCCUUGCUGGGCUGUUAUUGACGCUGAGGAACGAAAGCCAGGGGAGCAAAUG
rnacentral:rRNA from 1 species